UGCGUAGGCGGCCGAUUAAGUUGGAUGUGAAAUACCCGGGCUUAACUUGGGGGUGCAUCCAAUACUGGUUGGCUAGAGUGCAGGAGAGGGAAGCGGAAUUCCUAGUGUAGCGGUGAAAUGCGUAGAUAUUAGGAGGAACACCAGUGGCGAAGGCGGCUUUCUGGACUGUAACUGACGCUGAUGCACGAAAGCGUGGGGAGCAAACAG
rnacentral:rRNA from 1 species